UGUUCCAAUCUAUGACCUCCCUCUCCUGCUGGUACAAGGAUAUGUAUUCCUUAGAGCAAAGGAUGCAAUGUCAAGCAAGUUGUGAUACCUCAACUAUCUACAAUUUAACACCAAGGAAAGAACACUGUUUGGAGAAAUGAGAAAGAUUAUCAUCAGUGUCUUUCAGAAGUCAUCAAAGGAAGAAAAGGAGAAAAGAGAGGAGAAAGCAGAAAGAUCUGGAGUCUGGGAAGUUCAAGAGCAUGGCACCAACAUCUGGCAAGGGCUUUCAUGCUGCAUCAUCUCAUGGAGGAAAAUAAAAGGGAGGCUGGAUGCUCCUGUGAAGUACGUCUUCUAUCUACUUGCUAUCUUUGCAAUUCCUUCAUGCUACAAUGAGAGAUAGAGUUUAAACCUGAAAACAUUCUUGGAAAAGGAACCUUCAUUAAUUCAAAUAUACCACAAGGUUCUGCCACUGUGGCCAUCACCUGGGAUUGGAGAAAGGCAAAUGGAACAGACCAACUCAGAAUUACAGUCCUCGUUUAUUUCAUCAGAGGUUGGCCUGUACUUACA
rnacentral:lncRNA from 1 species